GAGUUUGAUCCUGGCUCAGGACGAACGCUGGCGGCGUGCUUAAUACAUGCAAGUCGAACGGGGUCCAUCCUUCGGGAGAAGACCUAGUGGCGAACGGGUGAGUAACACGUGAGCAACCUGUCCUAAAGACCGGGAUAAGCCAGGGAAACUUGGUCUAAUACCGGAUACCUUCAUCGGGUCCUAUGGCCUGGUGAAGAAAUGUUUUUCGCUUUGGGAGGGGCUCGCGGCCUAUCAGCUUGUUGGUGGGGUAAUGGCCUACCAAGGCGUCGACGGGUAGCUGGUCUGAGAGGAUGAUCAGCCACACUGGGACUGAGACACGGCCCAGACUCCUACGGGAGGCAGCAGUAGGGAAUCUUGCGCAAUGGGCGAAAGCCUGACGCAGCAACGCCGCGUGAGGGAUGACGGCUCUCGGGUUGUAAACCUCUUUCAGCAGGAACGAAAUUGACGGUACCUGCAGAAGAAGCUCCGGCCAACUACGUGCCAGCAGCCGCAGU
rnacentral:rRNA from 1 species